rnacentral:rRNA from 1 species
UACGAAGGGGGCUAGCGUUGUUCGGAGUUACUGGGCGUAAAGGGCGCGUAGGCGGCCGGCCAAGUCAGAUGUGAAAGCCCACGGCUCAACCGUGGAAUAGCAUUUGAGACUGGUUGGCUUGAGGACGGGAGAGGAUGGUGGAAUUCCCAGUGUAGAGGUGAAAUUCGUAGAUAUUGGGAAGAACACCGGUGGCGAAGGCGGCCAUCUGGACCGUAUCUGACGCUGAGGCGCGAAAGCGUGGGGAG